UACGGGGGGGGCAAGCGUUGUUCGGAAUUACUGGGCGUAAAGGGCUCGUAGGCGGCCAACUAAGUCAGACGUGAAAUCCCUAGGCUCAACCUAGGAACUGCGUCUGAUACUGGAUGGCUUGAAUCCGGGAGAGGGAUGCAGAAUUCCAGGUGUAGCGGUGAAAUGCGUAGAUAUUCGGAGGAACACCAGUGGCGAAGGCGGCUCACUGGCUCGGUACUGACGCUGAGGUGCGAAAGCGUGGGGAGCAAACAGG
rnacentral:rRNA from 1 species